AUUGAACGCUGGCGGCAGGCCUAACACAUGCAAGUCGAACGGUAACAGGAAGAAGCUUGCUUCUUUGCUGACGAGUGGCGGACUGGUGAGUAAUGUCUGGGAAACUGCCUGAUGGAGGGGGAUAACUACUGGAAACGGUAGCUAAUACCGCAUAACGUCGCAAGACCAAAGAGGGGGACCUUCGGGCCUCUUGCCAUCGGAUGUGCCCAGAUGGGAUUAGCUAGUAGGUGGGGUAACGGCUCACCUAGGCGACGAUCCCUAGCUGGUCUGAGAGGAUGACCAGCCACACUGGAACUGAGACACGGUCCAGACUCCUACGGGAGGCAGCAGUGGGGAAUAUUGCACAAUGGGCGCAAGCCUGAUGCAGCCAUGCCGCGUGUAUGAAGAAGGCCUUCGGGUUGUAAAGUACUUUCAGCGGGGAGGAAGGGAGUAAAGUUAAUACCUUUACUCAUUGACGUUACCCGCAGAAGAAGCACCGGCUAACUCCGUG
rnacentral:rRNA from 1 species